GUUCGGAAUAACGUUGGGAAACUGACGAUAAUACCGGAUACAUCGAAAGAGGAAAGGUUUACUGCUUUAGGAGCGGCCCAUAUCAGAUUAGCUAGUUGGUAGAGUAAAAGCCUACCAAGGCUAAGAUCUGUAGUUGAUCUGAGAGGAUGGUCAGCCACACUGGGACUGAGACACGGCCCAGACUCCUACGGGAGGCAGCAGUGGGGAAUAUUGGACAAUGGGGGAAACCCUGAUCCAGCAAUGCCGCGUGCGUGAUGAAGGCCUUCGGGUUGUAAAGCGCUUUUAUUAGGGAAGAUUAUGACGGUACCUAAUGAAUAAGCCCCGGCAAACUUCGUGCCAGCAGCCGCGGUAAUACGAAGGGGGCUAGCGUUGUUCGGAAUAACUGGGCGUAAAGAGCGUGUAGGCGGUUGUAUAAGUUGGAUGUGAAAUCCCUGGGCUUAACCUAGGAACUGCAUCCAAUACUAUACAACUAGAGUGCGAAAGGGGAAAGCGGAAUAGCGUGUGGAGCAGUGAAAUGCGUUGAUAUACGUUAGAACAUCGGGGGCGAAGGCGGCUUUCUGGUUCGCAACUGACGCUGUGGCGCGAAAGCGUGGGGAGCAAACAGGAUUAGAUACCCUGGUAGUCCACGCUGUAAACGAUGAGUGCUAGAUGUUGGAUGAUUUUCAUUCUGUGUCGAAGCUAACGCGAUAAGCACUCCGCCUGGGGACUACGGUCGCAAGAUUAAAACUCAAAGGAAUUGACGGGGACCCGCACAAGCGGUGGAGCAUGUGGUUUAAUUCGAAGCUACGCGAAAAACCUUACCAGCUCUUGACAUAGAAGUCGUAUGGAUAAGAGAUUAUUCAGUCAGUUCGGCUGGACUUUUACAGGUGCUGCAUGGCUGUCGUCAGUUCGUGUCGUGAGAUGUUGGGUUAAGUCCCGCAACGAACGCAACCCUUUCUGUUAGUUGCCAACAGGUAAAGCUGGGAACUUUAGCAGUACUGCCGGUGAUAAACCGGAGGGAGGUGGGGACGAGGUCAAGUCAUCAUGGCCCUUAUGGGCUGGGCUACACACGCGCUACAAUGGCGGUGACAAAACGGAUAGCAAUACUGUAAAGUGGAGCAAAUCGCAAAAAGCCGCCUCAGUUCGGAUUGUCCUCUGCAACUCGAGGGCAUGAAGUUGGAAUCGCUAGUAAUCGUAGAUCAGCAUGCUACGGUGAAUACGUUCUCGGGUCUUGUACACACUGCCCGUCACACCAUGGAAGUUGGUCUUGCCUUAAGGCGGUGCGCUAACCCGCAAGGGGGGCAGCCGACCACGGUAAGGUCGAUGACUGGGGUGAAGUCGGAACAAGGUA
rnacentral:rRNA from 1 species